rnacentral:rRNA from 1 species
GGGCUUCGGCCUGGUUAUUCAUAACCCUUUGUUGUCCGACUCUGUUGCCUCCGGGGCGACCCUGCCUUCGGGCGGGGGCUCCGGGUGGACACUUCAAACUCUUGCGUAACUUUGCAGUCUGAGUAAACUUAAUUAAUAAAUUAAAACUUUUAACAACGGAUCUCUUGGUUCUGGCAUCGAUGAAGAACGCAGCGAAAUGCGAUAAGUAAUGUGAAUUGCAGAAUUCAGUGAAUCAUCGAAUCUUUGAACGCACAUUGCGCCCCCUGGUUUUCCGGGGGGCAUGCCUGUUCGAGCGUCAUUUCACCACUCAAGCCUCGCUUGGUAUUGGGCAACGCGGUCCGCCGCGUGCCUCAAAUCGUCCGGCUGGGUCUUCUGUCCCCUAAGCGUUGUGGAAACUAUUCGCUAAAGGGUGUUCGGGAGGCUACGCCGUAAAACAACCCCAUUUCUAAGGUUGACCUCGGAUCAGGUAGGGUUACCCGCGUGAACUUAAGCAUAUCAA